rnacentral:rRNA from 1 species
UACGAAGGGGGCUAGCGUUGCUCGGAAUCACUGGGCGUAAAGCGCACGUAGGCGGACUCUUAAGUCGGUGGUGAAAUCCUGGAGCUCAACUCCAGAACUGCCUUCGAUACUGAGAGUCUCAGAGUCCGGGAGAGGGUAGUGGAAUUCCCGGUGUAGCGGUGAAAUGCGCAGAUAUCGGGAAGAACACCCGUGGCGAAGGCGGCUCUCUGGGACGGUACUGACGCUGAGACGCGAAAGCGUGGGGGAGCAAACAGGG